CACGUAGGGCGCAAGCGUUGUCCGGCAUUAUUGGGCGUAAAGAGCUCGUAGGCGGUCUGUUGCGUCCGCUGUGAAAACUCGGGGCUUAACCCCGAGCCUGCAGUGGAUACGGGCAGACUAGAGGUAGGUAGGGGAGAAUGGAAUUCCCGGUGUAGCGGUGAAAUGCGCAGAUAUCGGGAGGAACACCGGUGGUGUAGACGGCUUUCUGGACCGUAACUGACGCUGAAACACGAAAGCGUGGGUAGCAAACAGG
rnacentral:rRNA from 1 species